rnacentral:sRNA from 1 species
CCUUUGGAGAGUUAUAUCAAACGAAAGUAGCUACGGCAAAAUCGGACUCGAUGAAUAAGGAA